AUGGAUUGGAACCCUCAAGUACUUUGUUGGAACGUGAGAAGGCUCAACAACCCCGCUAAAAGAAACGCAAUUAGGGAGUUUGUGGUUGCGGCAAAGGCUAAUCUUGUAUGUCUUCAAGAAACCAAACUUGAAGCUUUUGACUCUUAUUUGGUAAUGCAAUGCAUUGGGCCAUCGUUUGAUGGUUUCGCCUACUUGCCUGCAUCGGAUACUAGGGGUGGUAUUCUUUUGGGAUGGGAUAGCUCGUUCUUGGUGUUCAAUAACAUCACUCGGGAUACUAACUUCCUCUCGGGUCUGGUUCAUAACAAAGAUGGUUUUGAAUGGUGGUUGUCGGCAGUGUAUGGACCCCGAGGGGAUGAGCUAAAAACUCAGUUCCUCAUGGAUCUCCAUCUUAGAAGGGACUUGUCUCCGGGGCCCUGGAUGGUGCUUGGCAACUUUAAUAUGAUCAUUAGAGCUGAGGAGAAGAGCAAUUCGAACCUUAAUAGGGGCAUGAUGAUGAAGUUUAAGUCGUUCGUGGAUAACAACGAGCUCAAAGAGAUUUAUAUGCAUGGAAGGCGCUUCACGUGGUCCAACAAAAGAGAAUAG
rnacentral:rRNA from 1 species